UACGGAGGGUGCAAGCGUUAUCCGGAUUUACUGGGUUUAAAGGGCGCGUAGGCGGUCAGCACAAGUCAGUUGUGAAAUCUCCGGGCUUAACUCGGAACGGUCAACUGAUACUGUGCGACUAGAGUGCAGAAGGGGCAACUGGAAUUCUCGGUGUAGCGGUGAAAUGCGUAGAUAUCGAGAGGAACACCUGCGGCGAAGGCGGGUUGCUGGGCUGACACUGACGCUGAGGCGCGAAAGCCAGGGGAGCGAACGGG
rnacentral:rRNA from 1 species